GCCCGCCGAUUGGCCGCAGCUGGGGCCGCGCUGCCUUGUGAGGUAGAAGCCGGGGGCAGGGAAGUACCUCAUUUCUUCCGGUCCGGCAAGCCGAGAGCAGGAAGCGAGCGGAAGCAGGUGGCUCUCGCGAGGAUUUACUUAGAUCCCAGUCUGGCUAGAACGGGGGCGGGGGUGUUUCUUAAAGGGCGAGGGGCUUAGGUCAUCGUCCUUUCCGCCCCACCUACUGGAAUGGAGUGGACAUCUGACGGUCUGCGAUGUGCUUUUGCGCUCGGGCCGGGACGCGCAGUUUGAAUUGCGUCUGAGAAGCGUCAGUGAAGCGCCUCGCGCUUCUGGGCUUCAUAGCUGACAAAGCUCUCGGGCCUGCUUGCGUCACGGCUGCGCGGACUAGGAUUCAGACUCUCCGCCAGGGUGUCCGGAUUGGGAAACUUCUGAGUAGUCCGGGACCGUGCCACCUGCAGGGACAAAAGAGGCACGUUCCUUUCCACCUAAGUGCUAAGAGGGGUUCACUUUGGACCUGGAACUUUACUGGGGGGAAGAAAGCAGGGGCUGUCUGAUGUUGGAGACCUGAGGAAAAAAAUGAGGGAUGAGUCAAGUGGAAAUCUGGGGAAAGACUGUCCCAGCAAUGUGGAAGUGUAGUUGGAAGGAGAAAGGUAGUGAAGCCUGUAGGCUUAGGGAAGAGCUUUGGGCAGGUAAAGUGAUAAUGACUGCUAACUGUUGUGGGAAAACACUGAAGUUGCAAGGGUGUAGUUUUUAACUGGGGAAGACUACUUGGGGGAAUAAUCCAAGUUUUCCUUUUCAAACCUAUCAAGCAUUUGUCACCACGAAAGGAAGAAUGCACCUGAAUUUAAAUUCGGUUUUGCCUUUCAAGGCUGUGCUAAGUUUUAUUGCUAGGUAACUGCUAUGUAUAUUACACACGGGGCAGCUUGAGACAGUAUCUGUGGGUGUCUACCCAAGUAGCUCUUCUUCCACCUUCCUAAUAGAACCUAUUUGUUCAGGGGAUGCCUGGUUCCCUCCUCUCACUGAUCUCAAGGAUGAAUCUUGAAUGAUAUAAGCCAAUAGUUCUUAACUGGGGUGCUUUAAAUGCUUGAGGGGCUCAGUUAUCAUAAUUGGUUAACACUAGAAGCAUUUAGUGGGCAAGGGCCUACCAGAGAUGCUAAUUAUCUUCCCCAGCAUGCCCUAGAACAGUCCUUCAUAAAGAAUCACUGCACAUCCCACAGGGUUCCCACCAAGUGUUCAUGUGGCUGAAACUUCAGCCUAGCAUUUUUCACAUGAAUCACAAGAAGUUUUUAAAUGAGUGUUGACUACUUGUUUUCUAAAAAUGUAAUUAUGUAAAUAAUCUCCCUAAUUUCUAAGAGGUAAAUUUAAAGAAAUAAACUUUUAAGAAAUAAUGCUUAGUCA